GCACGGCGUCGUGUCGAGGACACAUCCUUCACGGAAAACAUGUCGAAUUCGCGAUCUUACCUCGCGGAAUUCACCGGAGGAUGUCACAUGACUUGGUGCAAUGUUGUGACAUCGCGUUAAGAUCUCUGUGUUCCCCUGACGUGGAUAUUUAUUGAUAGAACAUUGCAGUUUUAUGCGUUUUAUCCUUUUCUUUCGCCGAACCAACGGUGCAUCAUGGAGAGGGUUUCGUGGCUUUGAUAUCACACAAGAUCUAGUUUCAUACAUAGGCCGCGUAGAAGCUACGUUGAUCAAUUUCAUCAACUUGGAAAAUACAGAGAAGCGAUGAUGCUAGACUACAGUUAAC
rnacentral:misc_RNA from 1 species